rnacentral:rRNA from 1 species
UACGUAGGGGGCAAGCGUUGUCCGGAUUUACUGGGCGUAAAGAGCGUGUAGGCGGCCAAGCAGGUCCGUUGUGAAAACUGGAGGCUUAACCUCCAGACGUCGACGGAAACCGCGUGGCUAGAGUCCGGAAGAGGAGAGUGGAAUUCCUGGUGUAGCGGUGAAAUGCGCAGAUAUCAGGAGGAACACCGGUGGCGAAGGCGGAUCUCUGGGCCUGUUCUGACGCUGAGGCGCGAAAGCUAGGGGAGCGAACAGG